GCAGCUGCAGAAACUUGCAGUCAAAACUUCAUGACCUUUGAUCACAUUUUUGUAAAGUCCAUGCAAUCAGCAUGUAGGCUCAACAUACAAAGACUUGACAAAAAUGAUCUGGUUGAACGCGCCCUACAACUUGGAGGGUUGUUCAAGUAAAACUUCCCAGUCGGAACUCCGAACUUCAGAUUACUCUUCAUAGCAUGAACACCUCCAAUAGUUGUGCAAUCGAACUCUAUGGAUAGAAUUAAUGCUGCGCUCACCUGCUAGUCGGAACUAGAAAACUCAGAAAUGUCAGACAUGCUAACUGGCUGAACGCGGAAGGUGUAUAACCACAACCAGGAUGCUGGCCCAUGUUGACUCCAAUGCUUCCCACAGUUGUGUCAAGUUGGCUGGAUGUCCUGUGGGUGAUGGACCAUUCUUGAUACACACUGGAAACUAUUGAGUAUGAAAACCCCAGCAGUAUUGCAGUUCUUGACACACUCAAACCAGUGCGCCUGGCACCAACUACUAUACCACGUUCAAAGGCACAAUCUUGUCUUGGCCAUUCACUCACUCUCUGUAUGGCACACAUACACAAUCUGUGUCUCAAGGCUUAAAACACCUUUAACCUGUCUCCUCCCUUCAUCUAUACUGAUUUAAUUGGAUUUAACUGGUGACAUCAAUAAGGGAUCAUAGCAUUCACCUGGUCAGUCUAUGUCAUGUAAAGAGCAGGUGUUACUAAUGUUUUGUACACUCAGUGUGUACGGUAUGGCUCUGGUCAGAAUUAUGUGACAAUGACCUUCACAAUCAGGAAUGGAAUAAUUUAAGUAAAGAGCAGUCUACAUAACUAUUUACUAACACAACGAAGACAGCGACUUUUACACCAAAAAUGUUAAUGUUCAAAUAUGGAGAAUGAUUUCAUGACAGGGGAGAACAUUUGAAUUUGAAAUAUAUCUAAAAAAAACAUGAUAUAUUUAAUUAGAAAAUAGCAUUUGAGGAGGCCUAUGAAGAGGAUAUGUAAAAUAUCAAAGUGUGGAACAAUUUGGUCCAGGAAACUUUUGGCGGUGUUUGCUGUAAACUAUACCACUGGAUUUUACAUUUGCUGUUAUAGCCUUGAUAUACACUAACGUUCAAAAGUUUGGGGUCACUUAGAAAUGUCCUUGUUUUUGAAAGAAAAGCAAAUUUUUGGUCCACUAAAAUAACAUCAAAUUGAUCAGAAAUACAGUGUAGACAUUGUUAAUGUUGUAAAUGGAAUAUCUACAUAGGCAUACAGAGACCCAUUAUCAUCAAUCAUCACUUCUGUGUUCCAAUGGAAUGUUGUGCUAGCUACAUUAGCUACAGAGUAGCAAAGAAAACGCCAUUUCUCAGACUGGCCAAUAAAACAAAAAUAUUAAGAAGGGCAAAAGAACACAGACACUGGACAGAGGAACUCUGCCUAGAAGGCCAGCAUGGUUGACGUUGAGACUUGUGUUUUGCUGGUACUAUUUAAUUAAGCUGCCAAUUGAGGACUUGUAAGGCGCCUGUUUUUCAAACUAGAAAAUAAUGUACUUGUCCUCUUGCUCAGUUGUGCACCGGGGCCUCCCACUCCUCUUUCUAUUCUGGUUGGAGACAGUUUGCGCUGUUCUGUGAAGGGAGUAGUACACAGCGUUGAACGAGAUCUUCAGUUUCUUGGCCAUUUCUCGCGUGGAAUAGCCUUCAUUUCUCAGAACAAGAAUAGACGGAUGACUUUCAGAAGAAAGGUCUUUGUUUAUGUCCAUUUUGAGCAUGUAAUCGAACCCACAAUUGCUGAUGCUCCAGAUACUCAACUAGUCUAAAGAAGGCCAGUUUUAUUGCUUCUUUAUUCAGGACAACAGUUUUCAGCUAUGCUAACAUAAUUGCAAAAGGGUUUUCUAAUGAUCAAUUAGACUUUUAAAAUUAUAAACUUGGAUUAGCUAACACAACAUGCCAUUAGAACACAGGAGUGAUGGUUUCUGAUAAUGGGCCUCUGUACACCUAUGUAGAUAUUCCAUUAAAAAUCAGCCGUUUCCAGCUACAAUAGUAAUUUACAACAAUUAACAACAUCUACACUGUAGAUCAAUUUGAUGUUAUUUUAAUGGACAAAAAAUAAUAUUUUCUUUCAAAAACAAGGACAUUUCUAAGUGACCCCAAACAUUUGAACGGUGGAGUAUUUCAACACUUUUCUUUGAGGUGAUAAUAUCUGAUAGUAAAACAAUUCAUGCCAUGAAUGAGAAUAACCCCAUUUAUAAUGCCCAAAUCAUUUCUCGUAUCCAGAUUUUUUGUUUGUGUUGCCAUGACGUUUCUUUCAGACCGGAUCUCACCUGAGAUCCGCUCCUACCAACUGGAAGGUUUCUUACCUUGAUGAGUUUCACAUGUGGGAACCAACUUCUCAAAAUGCAACUGAAACUGUCCGCCAUGGACCUCCCUAAGACAGAGGAGUGCUGCCAGUGAGCUCUGUGGCCCCUCAGGAUUGCACACUGCUGGCUGAAGCCCCUGGUAAACUACAGAUUCCUAUCAGUGAUGACGCCCUCUAGCCUUUCCACUGCUACAGGUGGGAGGAAGCAGGACUUCCAGGGACUCCGGAGAGCACAGAGAGGGCAGAGGAAAGUAGAAGAAGCCUUUAAGCAUUACUAAGCACUCGGUUGUACUUGUACUCUGUAUUUCAUUUCUCAAAUAUUGUAGCAAUU